AUCCUGUAUGGGAAGAAAUUGAGGGGGCCCAUGACUGUCCUGUGCCCUGCAAUGGCCACCUGGUGUCAGUCAUCAGCCAGAAGAGCUUCCUGUGGAUCCUGAGGGCCAGUGAGCCGACAGGCAUGGCCUUGGUGGACACCAGCUAUACAUCCACCAGAUGAGUAGCGUGAAGAACUUCAUCUGGCUGCAGAUGUCACUACCAAGAGGAGAGCAAGAUACUGAGCCACAUGUCCCAGGACGCCAAGUUCCUCAAGGUGUACACCAUGGACUUCAUGGCAGGCAGUGCCUAGCCAGUAUCCUGGGGUCCAGCAGAGACCGCAACCUUAUGGUGUACAUGUACCCAUCAGAAACUGCUAAGCUGGGCAGACUUCCAUGUAGCCACCUGCGUGUACACAUUCUGGAGGACCCUAUGCCAGGUAGUCCCCCAGAGGCCCAGCAAACAGUCGGUGCGGGGGUGGGGAGAACACACUGGUUGGUGGUAUUGGGCGUCUGCUGCUGGUGAAGAAAACCUCCCAGGGGCUGCUGAUGCUACAGAAUGCUCCAACCACCAUGCUGCCCCACCUUGCCGGCCUCAACCUCCUGUGCCUUUCCGGUGCUGCACAUGGACCAUUGCAUCCUAGAGAAUACCAAGUAGAGUGUCCUCAACCAAGAACUGCUCAACCUUUGCCUUUGCCUCAGCACCAUGGGGUGUGUGUGAUUAGCUGAUGGAAAAAAUCCACGGCACGCCUGACAUUGUCCUGAAU
rnacentral:lncRNA from 1 species